AAAAAAAUUAAGAAAUUGGAGUAAACCACCAAGUAGUUUUUAAUGAUAUUAGAGUGUGUAGCAAGCUAUAUGCGCUGGACUCAUGUCAGACAGUAAGUAUACCGUGAAACAGUAAAUUAAUGAAAAAUAACAUGUUUUUGGAAGUCGUACAUGGCAACAUGGCGAUGCAUAGUUUCACAUGAUAAUUACAGAUAAAUAUGUUUUGAUAUUGCAGUAAAAAUGUAAUUGGCGUAGAAGCAAACGAGUACCUUUUUCUUGCUGGAGGAUUUGAUUAUAGGAUAUGAAUGGUAAAAUGUGGACUUAUGUCGUGGCCGCUGAAGU
rnacentral:lncRNA from 1 species